rnacentral:lncRNA from 1 species
UUCACUUUGGUUAACAACCUAAGUGAAUGCACGCUUCCAAAGUCCCACUCUGAUGUUUCUUUCUUUAAAGGCAAUAAUACUCUUUCAGUUGCUUUGGUUCUGAUCCUGGGAUUUAGUAAUAUCUUAUAGUGACAACCCCUGUGGUUCUUCACUUUUGGAUAUCUACUUCACAAGUCCAUACAUGUGUCCCUUUUGUGAUUUUGUGACACAUUCAUUAUAAGGGUUAUGAAAGUGAUUUCCUAUCACAUAGGAAAAUGCUUUCUUAAAUCUACAACAUUUGAGAUUUAAUUUCCCUAUUUAAUAUCCUUGAGAUAGCCUUGCUAUAUCAAUAAGUCCAAUUUCAAGUCUAUACUUCAAAAUUGACUGUCAUGUUUUGUCAUUUCUCGAGUAACAUCUAUGUUUUAUCAAGUCUAUCAAAUAGACUUUAUUCACAUCUUGUUGCUCAAAUUAUGACAUCACUCCCACUGGCCUUGUUGUAACUUAGCAUUCAUUCAAAAAUAACAAUUAUAUUUUCUUGAUUUGAAUGCAUAUUGCUCCCACUUAACUUAAAUGAAUCAUACACAAAAGAAUUCCUUCUCAAGUGAUUCCAUUUGAAAUGUGUGACUUGUUUCAUUAAGUCUAUUCAUUUAAAUUAUAUGGUGUCAUACACCAUACUUCAAGUUUUAGUCAUACUAAGACCUUUAAUGUAGUCAUAUAAGAAUUAUCCAAGUCUUUAGUGGAAGCAUGGCUCCUACUAAGGAUAUAGAAACUCAACCAUUCCUUCUAGGUGGUUGAUAUAAUUCUUUAUCAAAACUACAUAGAGCGUUGUAGUUACAUGAGAUGUUGAAUUUGGAUUGUCUUGUUGUUAAACCAUAUGUUGCGACUCAUUUUGAAACUAUUUCCCUUUUGUUUCAUCAACUUGUCCAUAUGCUUAGUUAUUUAGCUUGUUCUCAUAAAAGAGAAUGAUGGACAACUCCCAACAUAUAACCAUUUUAUGCUAGGUUGACGAAACCAACAUUCAAAGACUAUUCUUUAGAAUGUCACACAACAUAGACGUUUGAAGAGCUUGAGUCCUUUUAACAAUUAAAAUUACAAACUUUUAAUAAUAGUCAAGUACUAUUAUUCUUUAGACAACUAUAAACCAAUCACAUUCAAGUUUAUAUCCAUUUUCACACCUCCCACUAUUUCUCAUGACUUUAAUGAGAAAUCAUUUCAUACAUUCAAAAAUGUAUAAAAGUGGAGUAUAUUGGAAGAAGACAUUGUGUAGUAGCUUUAAAACAUUUCAAGCUUAUUUGUUUCAAUCUUCACUAAGUUAAUGUCUUGUUAUUAAGUGACUAAAGUCUUUAAACAUUUUAUAGAUUUAGAUACUUCUUUCUUGGUUUAAUCACUAACACAAUUGACAUUUUAAAACCUUUUAAAGAAUGCCCAAUUAGUUGUUCAAAACUACUAAUUGAAUCAAGAGUGAUCUUGAUCAUUGUGUUUCAAGUGGUAACCAUAUAAGAAACGUUUUUCUUAUUACUUAUAUCAUUAUAAUGUGAUCUUCCUUUUCUUCAAGAAAGGAUACUCUAGACUUUUGUCAAUUCAUAUAGAACUUAUAGGUAGACAAAUGGAACCAAAUCUAAAGAUUCAUUGUAUCCUUUUAUGUCCUACA